rnacentral:rRNA from 1 species
AAAUUGAAGAGUUUGAUCAUGGCUCAGAUUGAACGCUGGCGGCAGGCCUAACACAUGCAAGUCGAACGGUAACAGGAAGAAGCUUGCUUCUUUGCUGACGAGUGGCGGACGGGUGAGUAAUGUCUGGGAAACUGCCUGAUGGAGGGGGAUAACUACUGGAAACGGUAGCUAAUACCGCAUAACGUCGCAAGACCAAAGAGGGGGACCUUCGGGCCUCUUGCCAUCGGAUGUGCCCAGAUGGGAUUAGCUAGUAGGUGGGGUAACGGCUCACCUAGGCGACGAUCCCUAGCUGGUCUGAGAGGAUGACCAGCCACACUGGAACUGAGACACGGUCCAGACUCCUACGGGAGGCAGCAGUGGGGAAUAUUGCACAAUGGGCGCAAGCCUGAUGCAGCCAUGCCGCGUGUAUGAAGAAGGCCUUCGGGUUGUAAAAGUACUUUCAGCGGGGAGGAAGGGAGUAAAGUUAAUACCUUUGCUCAUUGACGUUACCCGCAGAAGAAGCACCGGCUAACUCCGUGCCAGCAGCCGCGGUAAUACGGAGGGUGCAAGCGUUAAUCGGAAUUACUGGGCGUAAAGCGCACGCAGGCGGUUUGUUAAGUCAGAUGUGAAAUCCCCGGGCUCAACCUGGGAACUGCAUCUGAUACUGGCAAGCUUGAGUCUCUCGUAGGGGGGGGGGUAGUAAAUUCGGUGUAGCGGUGAAAUGCGUAGAGAUCUGGAGGAAUACCGGUGGCGAAGGCGGCCCCCUGGACGAAGACUGACGCUCAGGUGCGAAAGCGUGGGGAGCAAACAGGAUUAGAUACCCUGGUAGUCCACGCCGUAAACGAUGUCGACUUGGAGGUUGUGCCCUUGAGGCGUGGCUUCCGGAGCUAACGCGUUAAGUCGACCGCCUGGGGAGUACGGCCGCAAGGUUAAAACUCAAAUGAAUUGACGGGGGCCCGCACAAGCGGUGGAGCAUGUGGUUUAAUUCGAUGCAACGCGAAGAACCUUACCUGGUCUUGACAUCCACGGAAGUUUUCAGAGAUGAGAAUGUGCCUUCGGGAACCGUGAGACAGGUGCUGCAUGGCUGUCGUCAGCUCGUGUUGUGAAAUGUUGGGUUAAGUCCCGCAACGAGCGCAACCCUUAUCCUUUGUUGCCAGCGGUCCGGCCGGGAACUCAAAGGAGACUGCCAGUGAUAAACUGGAGGAAGGUGGGGAUGACGUCAAGUCAUCAUGGCCCUUACGACCAGGGCUACACACGUGCUACAAUGGCGCAUACAAAGAGAAGCGACCUCGCGAGAGCAAGCGGACCUCAUAAAGUGCGUCGUAGUCCGGAUUGGAGUCUGCAACUCGACUCCAUGAAGUCGGAAUCGCUAGUAAUCGUGGAUCAGAAUGCCACGGUGAAUACGUUCCCGGGCCUUGUACACACCGCCCGUCACACCAUGGGAGUGGGUUGCAAAAGAAGUAGGUAGCUUAACCUUCGGGAGGGCGCUUACCACUUUGUGAUUCAUGACUGGGGUGAAGUCGUAACAAGGUAACCGUAGGGGAACCUGCGGUUGGAUCACCUCCUUACCUUAAAGAAGC